rnacentral:rRNA from 1 species
GCCCAGACUCCUACGGGAGGCAGCAGUGGGGGAUAUUGCACAAUGGGGGAAACCCUGAUGCAGCGACGCCGCGUGGGCGAAGAAGUAUUUCGGUAUGUAAAGCCCUAUCAGCAGGGAAGAAGAAAUGACGGUACCUGAGUAAGAAGCACCGGCUAAAUACGUGCCAGCAGCCGCGGUAAUACGUAUGGUGCAAGCGUUAUCCGGAUUUACUGGGUGUAAAGGGAGCGCAGGCAGCACGGCAAGCCUGAUGUGAAAGCCCGCGGCCCAACCGCGGGACUGCAUUGGGAACUACCGGGCUGGAGUGCCGGAGAGGUAGGCGGAAUUCCUAGUGUAGCGGUGAAAUGCGCAGAUAUCAGGAAGAACACCGGUGGCGUAGGCGGCUUACUGGACGGCAACUGACGCUGAGGCUCGAAAGCGUGGGGAGCAAACAGGAUUAGAUACCCUUGUAA